AUUUUGUAUAAUCAUCAUUCACCAUGAAACCAAUGAAUAGGUACAAAAAAGUACGUCGAAUUAGGCUUUAAUAACUAUUUACUGUUUACGAAUUUACCGGAAGUGAAAACCUCACUACUGCAUCGAAACAAAAAAUAAAAAGUAAACUCCCACUGCGAGACUCGAACUCGCAACCUUCCGGUUAAAAGCCGGACGCUCUAAGCCGAUUGAGCUAAACGGGACUUGGUUGAAUGGG